GCUUAUAUUGUCAUAUUCUUGAGCUCAAUUAACUUAGAUGCUUAACUUUUUCAUUGCCAGACAGAAUUUGGAGACUGGAUAGGAAAACUUCUUCAAAUACAACCAAGAUGUUUGUUAAGUUUGGUUGUGGGAUGGUACUCAGAGGCAGCAGAUAGAUAACAGUACUAUGAAUUAACUUGAUAUUUUGUGUUAUAGUUUGGUAGUCCUUAUGAAUAUUCCCUUGAUAAUUUAUGUGCUAAAUUUUGUUAUUUUGUGGUGGGUAGAAGUGAGAACUAACUUUGCACCUUGUACAAUUCUUUGAUUUCGAAAUUUAUAGUAGCCAUGACAAUGAAUAAUUCCUACUCCUAUAAAGAAAUCCCAUAUUUUUCAUAUGAAAGGUAUUCUUUGGUAUAAUUAAUUUAAGUAUUUGAUCAGCCU
rnacentral:lncRNA from 1 species